GGGAACUGGGAGAAAAACAGAGCCAUUAUUCCAUUUAUUCCCAUUAUUCAGAUUAUUCCCAUUAUUCAGAUUAUUCUGAGGAAGCUGAGGAGGAACAGAGAGAAUUUUGGCAAAGGAAAACAGAGCAAUUAUUCUGAUUAUUCCCAUUAUUCUGACUAUUCUGAUUAUUCCCAUUAUUCCAAGGGAACUGGGAAGGAGCAAAGGGAAUUUUGGCAAACAGAGAAAAUAUUCAGAUUAUUCAAAAUUAUUCCAAUUAUUCUGAGGGAGCUGAGGGAAUUCUGGCAAAGGAAGACAGAGAUUAUUCCAUUUAUUCCCAUUAUUUUGAUUAAUCUGAGGGAGCUGGGAAGGAGCAGAGGGAAUUUUGGCAAGGGAAAAUAAAGAGAUUAUUCAGAUUAUUCCCAUUAUUCCCAUUCUGAUUAAUCUGAGGGAGCUGGGAAGGAGCAGAGGGAAUUUUGGCAAAUGGAGCAAAUAUUCCCAUUAUCCAGAUUAUUCCAAUUAUUCCCAUUAUUCUGAGGGAACUGGGAGAAAAACAGAGCCAUUAUUCCAUUUAUUCCCAUUAUUCAGAUUAUUCCCAUUAUUCAGAUUAUUCUGAGGAAGCUGAGGAGGAACAGAGAGAAUUUUGGCAAAGGAAAACAGAGCAAUUAUUCUGAUUAUUCCCAUUAUUCUGACUAUUCUGAUUAUUCCCAUUAUUCCAAGGGAACUGGGAAGGAGCAAAGGGAAUUUUGGCAAACAGAGAAAAUAUUCAGAUUAUUCAAAUUAUUCCAAUUAUUCUGAAGGAUCUGAGGGAAUUCUGGCAAAGGAAAACAGAUUAUUCCAUUUAUUCCCAUUAUUCUGAUUAUUCUGAUUAAUCUGAGGGAGCUGGGAAGGAGCAGAGGGAAUUUUGGCAAAUGGAGCAAAUAUUCCCAUUAUCCAGAUUAUUCCAAUUAUUCCCAUUAUUCUGAGGGAACUGGGAGAAAAACAGAGCCAUUAUUCCAUUUAUUCCCAUUAUUCAGAUUAUUCCCAUUAUUCAGAUUAUUCUGAGGAAGCUGAGGAGGAACAGAGAGAAUUUUGGCAAAGGAAAACAGAGCAAUUAUUCUGAUUAUUCCCAUUAUUCUGACUAUUCUGAUUAUUCCCAUUAUUCCAAGGGAACUGGGAAGGAGCAAAGGGAAUUUUGGCAAACAGAGAAAAUAUUCAGAUUAUUCAAAUUAUUCCAAUUAUUCUGAAGGAUCUGAGGGAAUUCUGGCAAAGGAAAACAGAUUAUUCCAUUUAUUCCCAUUAUUCUGAUUAUUCUGAUUAAUCUGAGGGAGCUGGGAAGGAGCAGAGGGAAUUUUGGCAAACAGAGAAAAUAUUCCCAUUAUUCAGAUUAUUCCAAUUAUUCCCAUUAUUCUGAGGGAACUGGGAGGGAGCAGAGGGAAUUUAGGCAAGGGAAAAUAGAGAGAUUAUUC
rnacentral:lncRNA from 1 species